AUUCAACUGACGAGUCCCAAAUAGGACGAGACUCGAGUUCUGGAU
rnacentral:hammerhead_ribozyme from 1 species